ACGUAAUAGAUACCCGGGUAGUCCACGCCCUAAACGAUGUCUACUAGUUGUUGGUGGAGUAAAAUCCAUGAGUAAACGCAGCUAAACGCGUGAAGUAGACCGCCUGGGGAGUACGGUCGCAAGAUUAAAACUCAAAGGAAUUGACGGGGGCCCGCACAAGCGGUGGAUUAUGUGGAUUAAUUCGAUGCAACGCGAAAAACCUUACCUGGCCUUGACAUGCCACUAACGAAGCAGAGAUGCAUUAGGUGCCCGUAAGGGAAAGUGGACACAGGUGCUGCAUGGUUGUCGUCAGCUCGUGUCGUGAGAUGUUGGGUUAAGCCCCGCAACGAGCGCAACCCUUGCCAUUAAUUGCCAUCAUUUAGUUGGGCACUUUAAUGGGACUGCCGGUGACAAACCGGAGGAAGGUGGGGAUGACGUCAAGUCCUCAUGGCCCUUAUGGCCAGGGCUUCACACGUAAUACAAUGGUCGGUACAGAGAGUUGCCAACCCGCGAGGGGUAGCUAAUCUCAGAAAGCCGAUCGUAGUCCGGAUUAGUUCUCUGC
rnacentral:rRNA from 1 species